rnacentral:rRNA from 1 species
GUGAGGAAUAUUGCGCAAUGGAGGCAACUCUGACGCAGCCAUGCCGCGUGCAGGAAGAAGGCGCUACGCGUUGUAAACUGCUUUUAACCGGGAAGAAACCCCAGGACGUGUCCUGGGUUGACGGUACCGGCGGAAUAAGCACCGGCUAACUUCGUGCCAGCAGCCGCGGUAAUACGAAGGGUGCAAGCGUUAUCCGGAUUCAUUGGGUUUAAAGGGUGCGUAGGCGGAGCGUUAAGUCAGUCGUGAAAUCCUGCAGCUUAACUGUAGACUUGCCAUUGAUACUGGCGCUCUUGAGUGCGCUUGAAGUGGGCGGAAUGUGCCGUGUAGCGGUGAAAUGCUUAGAUAUGGCACAGAACACCAAUUGCGAAGGCAGCUCACUAAGGCGAUACUGACGCUGAGGCACGAAAGCGUGGGGAUCGAACAGGAUUAGAAACCCGUGUAGUCC